AGAACGAACGCUGGCGGCAGGCUUAACACAUGCAAGUCGAACGCCCCGCAAGGGGAGUGGCAGACGGGUGAGUAACGCGUGGGAAUCUACCCAAUUCUUCGGAACAACUGAGGGAAACUUCAGCUAAUACCGGAUACGCCCUACGGGGAAAGAUUUAUCGGAAUUGGAUGAGCCCGCGUAAGAUUAGCUAGUUGGUGGGGUAAUGGCCUACCAAGGCGACGAUCUUUAGCUGGUCUGAGAGGAUGAUCAGCCACACUGGGACUGAGACACGGCCCAGACUCCUACGGGAGGCAGCAGUGGGGAAUAUUGGACAAUGGGCGAAAAGCCUGAUCCAGCCAUGCCGCGUGAGUGAUGAAGGCCUUAGGGUUGUAAAGCUCUUUCAGUAGGGAAGAUAAUGACGGUACCUACAGAAGAAGCCCCGGCUAAACUUCGUGCCAGCAGCCGC
rnacentral:rRNA from 1 species